AGANUGCAAGUCGAACGCGAAAGUCCCCUUCGGGGGGCGAGUAGAGUGGCGCACGGCCUGUAGUAACACGNUAGGUAAUCUACCUUCGGAUGGGGAAUAACAAUCGGAAACGGUUGCUAAUACCGCAUAAUGCAGCGGCACCUAAUGGUGACAGUUGUUAAAGCGGGGGAUCGAAAGACCUCGCGUCUGAAGAGGAGCCUGCGGCGGAUUAGCUUGUUGGUAAGGUGACGGCUUACCAAGGCGACGAUCCGUAGCCGGCCUGAGAGGGCGGUCGGCCACACUGACACUGACAUACGGGUCAGACUCCUACGGGAGGCAGCAGUCGGGAAUUUUGGGCAAUGGGCGAAAGCCUGACCCAGCAACGCCGCGUGAAGGAUGAAAUCCCUCGGGAUGUAAACUUCGCAAGAACGGGAAGAAUAAGCGAGAGUUAAUAUCUUUCGUGAUGACGGUACCGUUUGUAAGCUCCGGCUAACUCCGUGCCAGCAGCCGCGGUAAUACGGGGGGAGCAAGCGUUGUUCGGAUUUACUGGGCGUAAAGGGCGCGUAGGCGGCCAGCGCAAGUCAGUUGUGAAAUCUCCGAGCUUAACUCGGAAAGGUCAACUGAUACUGCGCGGCUAGAGUGCGGAAGGGGCAACUGGAAUUCUUGGUGUAGCGGUGAAUGCGUAGAUAUCAAGAGGAACACCUGCGGCGAAGGCGGGUUGCUGGGCCGACACUGACNCUGANGCGCGAAAGCUAGGGGAGCGAACGGGAUUAGAUACCCCGGUAGUCCUAACCUUUAACGAUGAAUGCUUGGUGUCUGGGGUUAUAAAGUCCCCGGGUGCCNUCCCUUAACGCUUUUAAGCAUUCCGCCUGGGGAAUACGGUCC
rnacentral:rRNA from 1 species